GAUGAACGCUAGCGGCAGGCCUAAUACAUGCAAGUCGGACGGUAAACGGCCCUUCGGGGCUGUGAGAGUGGCGCACGGGUGCGUAACGCGUAUGCAACCUACCCAAUGCUGGCGGAUAGCCCGGAGAAAUUCGGAUUAAGCCGUCAUGAGGAGCAGCUGGGGCAUCCCAAUUGUUUCAAAAUAUUUUAUAGGCGUUGGAUGGGCAUGCGUGCUAUUAGAUAGUUGGCGGGGUAACGGCCCACCAAGUCGACGAUAGCUAGGGGAUCUGAGAGGACGGUCCCCCCACACUGGUACUGAGACACGGUCCAGACUCCUACGGGAGGCAGCAGUGAGGAAUAUUGGUCAAUGGAGGCAACUCUGAACCAGCCAAGUAGCGUGCAGGAUGACGGCCCUAUGGGUUGUAAACUGCUUUUAUGCGGGGAUAAAUGAGCCUACGUGUAGGUUUUUGCAGGUACCACAUGAAUAAGGACCGGCUAAUUCCGUGCCAGCAGCCGUC
rnacentral:rRNA from 1 species